rnacentral:rRNA from 1 species
GACGAACGCUGGCGGCGUGCUUAACACAUGCAAGUCGAACGGAAAGGCCCUGCUUUUGUGGGGUGCUCGAGUGGCGAACGGGUGAGUAACACGUGAGUAACCUGCCCUUGACUUUGGGAUAACUUCAGGAAACUGGGGCUAAUACCGGGUAGGAGCUCCUGCUGCAUGGUGGGGGUUGGAAAGUUUCGGCGGUUGGGGAUGGACUCGCGGCUUAUCAGCUUGUUGGUGGGGUAGUGGCUUACCAAGGCUUUGACGGGUAGCCGGCCUGAGAGGGUGACCGGCCACAUUGGGACUGAGAUACGGCCCAGACUCCUACGGGAGGCAGCAGUGGGGAAUAUUGCACAAUGGGCGGAAGCCUGAUGCAGCAACGCCGCGUGCGGGAUGACGGCCUUCGGGUUGUAAACCGCCUUCGCCUGUGACGAAGCGUGAGUGACGGUAAUGGGUAAAGAAGCACCGGCUAACUACGUG